rnacentral:rRNA from 1 species
GACAGAGGGUGCAAACGUUGUUCGGAGUUACUGGGCGUAAAGCGUGUGUAGGCGGACGCCUAAGUGUCUUGUGAAAUCCCACGGCUCACCCGUGGAACUGCUGGGCAUACUGGGCGUCUUGGGCCAACUAGGGGCAGCCGGAACAAGCGGUGGAGCGGUGAAAUGCGUAGAUAUCGCUUGGAACGCCGAAGGUGAAAACAGGCUGCUGGGGUUGCGCCGACGCUGAGACACGAAGCCAGGGGAGCAAACGGG